CAGCCGCCGCGGUAAUACGGAGGGUGCGAGCGUUAAUCGGAAUUACUGGGCGUAAAGCGUACGCAGGCGGUUUGUUAAGUCAGAUGUGAAAUCCCCGAGCUUAACUCGGGAACUGCAUUUGAAACUGGCAGGCUAGAGUCUCGUAGAGGGGGGUAGAAUUCCAGGUGUAGCGGUGAAAUGCGUAGAGAUCUGGAGGAAUACCGGUGGCGAAGGCGGCCCCCUGGACGAAGACUGACGCUCAGGUACGAAAGCGUGGGGAGCAAACAGGAUUAGAUACCCCGGUAGUCCCUGUCUCUUAUAC
rnacentral:rRNA from 1 species